rnacentral:rRNA from 1 species
ACGCACGCUGGCGGCGCGCCUCACCCCUGCCAGUCGAACGAGCGAGAGAGAGCUUGCUUUCUUGAGCGAGUGGCGAACGGGUGAGUAACGCGUGAGGAACCUGCCUCAAAGAGGGGGACAACAGUUGGAAACGACUGCUAAUACCGCAUAAGCCCACGGUGCCGCAUGGCACAGAGGGAAAAGGAGCAAUCCGCUUUGAGAUGGCCUCGCGUCCGAUUAGCUAGUUGGUGAGGUAACGGCCCACCAAGGCGACGAUCGGUAGCCGGACUGAGAGGUUGAACGGCCACAUUGGGACUGAGACACGGCCCAGACUCCUACGGGAGGCAGCAGUGGGGAAUAUUGCACAAUGGGGGAAACCCUGAUGCAGCGACGCCGCGUGGAGGAAGAAGGUCUUCGGAUUGUAAACUCCUGUUGUUGGGGAAGAUAAUGACGGUACCCAACAAGGAAGUGACGGCUAACUACGUG